ACGCUGGCGGCGUGCUUAACACAUGCAAGUCGAACGAGAAUCGCCGGAAGGAGUUUUCGGACAACGGAAGGUGAGGAAAGUGGCGGACGGGUGAGUAACGCGUGAGGAACCUGCCUCGGAGUGGGGGACAACAGCCGGAAACGGCUGCUAAUACCGCAUGAUGUAUCUGGAUCGCAUGGUUUGGAUACCAAAGAUUUAUCGCUCUGAGAUGGCCUCGCGUCUGAUUAGAUAGUUGGUGGGGUAACGGCCUACCAAGUCGACGAUCAGUAGCCGGACUGAGAGGUUGAACGGCCACAUUGGGACUGAGAUACGGCCCAGACUCCUACGGGAGGCAGCAGUGGGGAAUAUUGGGCAAUGGGCCGCAAGCCUGACCCAGCAACGCCGCGUGAAGGAAGAAGGCUUUCGGGUUGUAAACUUCUUUUAAGGGGGAAGAGCAGAAGACGGUACCCCUAGAAUAAGCCACGGCUAACUACGUGCCAGCCGCUGC
rnacentral:rRNA from 1 species